UUUUACUUAGUUGCAUACUCUUUUGUAUAUCAUUUUUUGUACUUGAUGAUUAUAGAUGUUUAAAUAAAAGGACAUGAAUGAUGUAAGAGAAUUUAUGUUUAAAUACAAGAGUUAUAUUUUGAGAUAUCAUGAGAUGUAAAAGAGAAGAGAUAAUGCAAAAGAAUAUAAAUGAAUUUUAAGUUGUAUGUAUGUAUGUGGUUAAAAGUCAAAUAUAUUACUUGUAUGAAUGUUUAGAUUAGUA
rnacentral:lncRNA from 1 species